UGCAGACAUGGGCAGUGAUGUGUGGUGGCAUCCAGUGGCAGGGACAGAGUUUUCAGGACAGUCUGGAUCCUGGGGACCUCCUCGGUUAACUGGACGAUUCUGCAUGCCCUACCCUGGAGAUGCCCCACCCCCAUGAACUAUCAGGCACGUCCACCUCCUGAACCUUAGUGGCCCUGAGGCCACCCGGAACCCCUCCACCUGCAACACUUGGCUAUUUUGUAUGCAAGAGUCCUGGUCCUUUCCCAGGAUUGCCUUGCAGGCUGUGCCCCGUGGACCACCCUUCACCACCAGUCAUGGGCUAUAGGCCACAUCCCCCUCCUCCACCUACUCUAUUUGUUAAGAUGACCUGAACUGGCUGAGUGGCUGGUAAAGUAUAUUCAUCUUCUUCAUGAUUGACUUUGUGGCAAUGAUGUAGAGAUGGUUGUGAGUCUUGGCAAGCCAACUACAAACUGCCUGAGGACACUGUAGCAUAUCUCAAGUUUCUCAGGACAUACAUACAAUGGGCAGUGUCAUGUCCCUGUAAUACAGUGAGCUAUACGUUUCUCUUGUCAAAUGAAAGAGGAUUUUUUACACAAAAGCAGAUGUAUCAGCAGUACUGGUGCGUAUGAUGGAGACACAAUGUGUUGGGUUCUGUAAUGAAUGAGGUGCACCUCUAACUUUUAGAGCAUCAGGUGUCCUGUGUGAAAGAGGGACAUUCAUUAAACGAUGCAGACCUUGUGAUCACCAAAAUGGAAACACCAGUGAAGGAUCCAGUGCAAAACUGGGGGAGCCUUGAAUCAUACAGGAAUAAAAGGGAUGUUGAGCACAGUAAGCAGAGUUUGAGGUGGUGCAGAGGGGAGGGUGUUGGGGUCAGUGACAUGCAGCUGGAGGUCAUUCCUGGCCACAGCCUGAGCAGGAAGUGUGAGGUCCAUAUGGAGCUGCUAUGUGGGAUCGCUCUCAGUGCACAAUGCAGCGUUCAUCUCCAAAAUGUCAGUGUGUUGGCUAAAUUUAUUCCUAUACACUUUAUUGUUUUUGAUGCUAUUGUAAAUGGAUUGUUUUCUUUUCUUCUUUGAUAAUUUGGUUAGUGUAUAGGAAAGCUACAGAAUUUGAUAUA